UACGUAGGGUGCAAGCGUUGUCCGGAAUUAUUGGGCGUAAAGAGCUCGUAGGCGGUCUGUCACGUCGGACGUGAAAAUCCAGGGCUCAACCCUGGACCUGCGGUGGGUACGGGCAGACUAGAGUGAUGUAGGGGAGACUGGAAUUCCUGGUGUAGCGGUGAAAUGCGCAGAUAUCAGGAGGAACACCGGUGGCGAAGGCGGGUCUCUGGGCCGAUACUGACGCUGAGGAGCGAAAGCAUGGGUAGCGAACAGG
rnacentral:rRNA from 1 species